rnacentral:rRNA from 1 species
GGUAGUCCACGCCGUAAACGAUGUCGACUUGGAGGUUGUGCCCUUGAGGCGUGGCUUCCGGAGCUAACGCGUUAAGUCGACCGCCUGGGGAGUACGGCCGCAAGGUUAAAACUCAAAUGAAUUGACGGGGGCCCGCACAAGCGGUGGAGCAUGUGGUUUAAUUCGAUGCAACGCGAAGAACCUUACCUACUCUUGACAUCCAGAGAACUUAGCAGAGAUGCUUUGGUGCCUUCGGGAACUCUGAGACAGGUGCUGCAUGGCUGUCGUCAGCUCGUGUUGUGAAAUGUUGGGUUAAGUCCCGCAACGAGCGCAACCCUUAUCCUUUGUUGCCAGCGGUUAGGCCGGGAACUCAAAGGAGACUGCCAGUGAUAAACUGGAGGAAGGUGGGGAUGACGUCAAGUCAUCAUGGCCCUUACGAGUAGGGCUACACACGUGCUACAAUGGCGCAUACAAAGAGAAGCGACCUCGCGAGAGCAAGCGGACCUCAUAAAGUGCGUCGUAGUCCGGAUUGGAGUCUGCAACUCGACUCCAUGAAGUCGGAAUCGCUAGUAAUCGUAGAUCAGAAUGCUACGGUGAAUACGUUCCCGGGCCUUGUACACACCGCCCGUCACACCGUGGGAGUGGGUUGCAAAAGAAGUAGGUAGCUUAACCUUCGGGAGGGCGCUUACCACUUUGUGAUUCAUGACUGGGGUGAAGUCGUAACAAGGUAACCGUAGGGGAACCUGC